CGCGGACGCAUUGUGCCGAUAUUAUUGUACAGUUCACAGUCGAUUGCUGCCCUGUCUUCAGCCAAAGUACAGGUGAUAGAAACAUGACUUUCAUCAAAGGAUUUCCCGUUCUUGUUCUUCUUUUGGUGGUCCUCCUCCAAGCGCCGCCGCAGGUCAACGCGGCUGAUCUCUUGGGGAUCUUCACCGAUAUAGCGUCGAAAGUGAUCGGACGCGAUACUGAACCUGAAGCCAAAUCAGAGCAGUGAAAAACUACCAUUGGCUCGUCAUUAUUCCUGCGGAACAAGUGCUUCCUUUUUUCGGUGCAAACAUGUGCUAUUGUACGCUGUCUGGAAAAACUCGCAUGCGAGGCUGAUUCAUUAAAUAAAAAUACGCCACAAGUCG